UUCUGACUUAGAGGCAUUCAGUCAUAAUCCCACAGAUGGUAGCUUCUCCCCAUUGGCUCCUCAGCCAAGCACAUACACCAAAUGUCUGAACCUGCGGUUCUUG